GCAAAUCAGCAGCAGACCCUCCCUCCCAGACCCUCCCACCUCCUGGACAGCUCACUAAGAAUGCAGCUUCAAAAUGAAUGCUGUCCAGGAGGUGGGAGGGUCUGGGAGGGAGGGUCUGCUGCUGAUUGG